rnacentral:rRNA from 1 species
AUUGAACGCUGGCGGCAGGCUUAACACAUGCAAGUCGAGCGGAGAGAGGUAGCUUGCUACUGAUCUUAGCGGCGGACGGGUGAGUAAUGCUUAGGAAUCUGCCUAUUAGUGGGGGACAACAUGUCGAAAGGAAUGCUAAUACCGCAUACGUCCUACGGGAGAAAGCAGGGGAUCUUCGGACCUUGCGCUAACAGAUGAGCCUAAGUCGGAUUAGUUGGGUGGUGGGGUAAAGGCCUACCAAGGCGACGAUCCGAAGCGGAUCUGAGAGGAUGAGCCGCCACACUGGGACUGCGACACGGCCAAGACGCCUACGGGAGGCAGCAGUGGGGAAUAUUGGACAAUGGGCGGAAGCCUGAGCCAGCCAUGCCGCGUGUGUGAAGAAGGGCGUAUGGUUGUAAAGCACUUUGAGCGAGGAGGAGGCUACUUUAGUUAAUACCUAGAGAUAGUGGACGGUACGCGCAGAAUAGGCACCGGCUUACUCUGUGCCAGCCGCCGCGGUAA